UACGAAGGGGGCUAGCGUUGUUCGGAAUUACUGGGCGUAAAGCGCACGUAGGCGGCUUUGUAAGUUAGAGGUGAAGGCCCAGGGCUCAACCCUGGAAUUGCCUUUAAGACUGCAUCGCUUGAACAUCGGAGAGGUAAGUGGAAUUCCGAGUGUAGAGGUGAAAUUCGUAGAUAUUCGGAAGAACACCAGUGGCGAAGGCGACUUACUGGACGAUUGUUGACGCUGAGGCGCGAAAGCUAGGGGAGCAAACGGG
rnacentral:rRNA from 1 species